ACCUCGUCCAAGGCAUUGAACUAUUUCACCCUUUUUGGCAGCAGAGAGAUCCUUUUUCUUCCCCAUAUUGCAUGAAAAUGGUGCUGUGCUUAAUAAUGUGGAACACCCUCCUUUAGUAGUUUUCCUUAAAUUGGGCUCACCUGGCAAUGUAAUUAUCACAGGUGGCAGAGAUCGUUUUCAGUGAUCAAAUGAGCCCUGAGACACCAUGCCAUCCAUGAGUUUAACUGGAAAACAAA